UGUUAAAAAUUUCAUCAAUUUCUACUAUUAAAAACUGGUGUGGUUGAUAGUAUAACCAAAGAGUUACACUUGUGUGCCUCGUGUACCUUAUGUUGACAUACAUGGACUAGUUUUUAACAGUAGAAAUGAAUGAAAUUUAUAAUA
rfam:Gossypium hirsutum cultivar TM-1 unplaced genomic scaffold scaffold4073.1, whole genome shotgun sequence